rnacentral:misc_RNA from 1 species
GAAAUGCGAUAAGUAAUGUGAAUUGCAGAAUUCAGUGAAUCAUCGAAUCUUUGAACGCACCUUGCGCUCCUUGGUAUUCCUUGGAGCAUGCCUGUUUGAGUAUCAUGAAAUUCUCAAAGUAAAUCUUUUGUUAAUUCAACUGUUUUUGCUUUGGACUUGGAGGUCUUUUGCAGAUUUCACGUCUGCUCCUCUUAAAUGCAUUAGCUGGAUCUCAGUAUAUGCUUGGUUCCACUCGGCGUGAUAAGUAUCACUCGCUGAGGACACUGUAAAAGGUGGCCAGGAAAUACAGAUGAACCGCUUCUAAUAGUCUAUUAAGUUAGACAAUUAAUUUUAAGAUCUGAUCUCAAAUCAGGUAGGACUACCCGCUGAACUUAAGC